rnacentral:tRNA from 3 species
GGGCCCAUAGCUCAGUGGUUAGAGCAGGCGACUCAUAAUCGCUUGGUCGUAGGUUCAAGUCCUACUGGGCCCACCA